UCACCUCUCCCCGCCCCCCUGCCCCAGCUCCGGCCCCGACCCUCCUCCAUCUCACCGCACUCCUAUCUCAUCUAUUUCUUCUCUUGUCCCUCCUCCUUCAACCCUCCGGCCCCUCAGGUCCUAACUCCUCCCAGAAGUCUGCCAGGCUUCUGGGAAGUUCUCCUCACAUACAGCCCAGCCCCCAACCUCCCAAACAUGCUCUCUUCGCCCAUAUCCCCUUAAGGACCCUCCCCCAAGUUCUUUCCAUCUUUUGUCUUUUACCUUUCCUUUCCAUGGUGGGGGCGGGGAAGAGAAUGCAAUGAAUUUCAAAACAUUUAUUUAUGGGCAGUAUUAGGCAAGUCCUAGGCAGCGAAAAAGAUAUGAAAAUUAAAAAAAAAAAAACAUAUUGGGGAGGGGGAGAUAGAGUACUCUAGGAACGGGUAUGUCUGAAGUUUCCAGUUAACAAUUUAAUUCAGCAUUUAAAUGCCUUCUGAAUGCAGAACCACCACCACCUGGACUUGGCUGGAGAAGAUUCGGCUCAAACGGUGUGCAGGUGGAAGCAAGAGCUGAGAUCCUUUGUCCUCUUGGACCUCCCUCUACCAUUCUGUGACUGGAAAGAAUGGGGACUCCAGAAGCCUUGCAUAAUGGAGGUAACUGGAGUACCCUAAAGAUUCAUCCUCCAUAUCCGUGCUUAGGAAAUGACACAGACUGUAGCACUGGAGAGAGCCAUGGAGAACAGCUGGACCCAGAGAGAAAAAACCGCCGCCACCCCUCCCCCACUCCUUUCUCAAGCAGCUGAAGAUAACAGGGGUGAGGAGGGGGGAAGUCCUCAGUAGGAGGAAUCCUCAUAAAAUGGUUGUUCAUUCUAA